rnacentral:rRNA from 1 species
GACGAACGCUGGCGGCGUGCCUAAUACAUGCAAGUCGAGCGAAGUUUUUCUGGUGCUUGCACUAGAAAAACUUAGCGGCGAACGGGUGAGUAACACGUAAAGAACCUGCCUCAUAGACUGGGACAACUAUUGGAAACGAUAGCUAAUACCGGAUAACAGUAUUUCUCGCAUGAGAGAUAUUUAAAAGUUGGUUAUGCUAACACUAUGAGAUGGCUUUGCGGUGCAUUAGCUAGUUGGUGGGGUAAAGGCCCACCAAGGCGACGAUGCAUAGCCGACCUGAGAGGGUGAUCGGCCACACUGGGACUGAGACACGGCCCAGACUCCUACGGGAGGCAGCAGUAGGGAAUCUUCCGCAAUGGGCGAAAGCCUGACGGAGCAACGCCGCGUGAGUGAAGAAGGAUUUCGGUUCGUAAAGCUCUGUUGUUAGGGAAGAAUGGAUAUGUAGUAACUAUACAUAUAAGAGACG